rnacentral:rRNA from 1 species
UACGUAGGGGGCAAGCGUUGUCCGGAUUUACUGGGCGUAAAGAGCGUGUAGGCGGCCAAACAGGUCCGUUGUGAAAACUGGAGGCUUAACCUCCAGACGUCGACGGAAACCGUGUGGCUAGAGUCCGGAAGAGGAGAGUGGAAUUCCUGGUGUAGCGGUGAAAUGCGCAGAUAUCAGGAAGAACACCAAUGGCGAAGGCAGCUCUCUGGGACGGUACUGACGCUGAGGCGCGAAAAGCUAGGGGAGCAAACGGG